rnacentral:rRNA from 1 species
AGACGUCUACAUUAGAUACCCCUGUAGUCCCAGCCGUAAACUAUGCGCGUUAGGUGUAUCGGUGACCACGAGUUACCGAGGUGCCGAAGGGAAACCGUGAAACGUGCCGCCUGGGAAGUACGGUCGCAAGGCUGAAACUUAAAGGAAUUGGCGGGGAGCACCACAACAGGUGGAGCCUGCGGUUUAAUUGGACUCAACGCCGGGAAGCUCACCGGAUAGGACAGCAGAAUGAUUGCCGAGAUGAAGACUCUGCUAGAUUUUCAG